UACGAGGGGGCAAGCGUUGUUCGGAAUUAUUGGGCGUAAAGGGUGCGUAGGCGGUUUGAUAAGUCAUCUGUGAAAUCUCUGGGCUCAACCCAGAGUCUGCAGGCGAAACUGUCGGGCUUGAGUAUGGGAGAGGAGAGUGGAAUUCCCGGUGUAGCGGUGAAAUGCGCAGAUAUCGGGGAAGAACACCCGUGGCGAAGGCGGCUCUCUCGGGAUGGUACUGACGCUGAGACGCGAAAGCGUGGGGAGCAAACAGGUUGAGAUACCCUUG
rnacentral:rRNA from 1 species